rnacentral:rRNA from 1 species
AUGGCUCGCAAGACCCCCAUCGUUGUGGCAUCCAUGUUGAUACUGAUGCUCCUUGUUCUUUUGACGAGGUUCAAGGGAAGUGUCGUGAGGAACGCAUCAUGCUCUCAUGUGAUAAUUGGGUCAAAUGUUUUGAGUGGUGUCGUCUCUUUGCUGAUACGAAAGGGUACUGUGAUAAAGGUUUACAUAAAGAGGGAGAAUGCCGGCAGCUGGGAUUCUGGGCUGGAAAAGGAGCAAAUAUUAGAGAACUAUUCUGCAUAG